rnacentral:sRNA from 1 species
UAGAGACGGAGGGAAGAUAAGACU